rnacentral:rRNA from 1 species
UACGUAGGUGUCGAGCGUUGUCCGGAUUUAUUGGGCGUAAAGAGCCCGCAGGCGGCUUGGCAAGUUUGAGGUGAAAUCUCCCGGCUUAACUGGGAGGGGGCCUCGAAAACUGCCAGGCUUGAGGCAUGGAGAGGGAUGCGGAAUUCCCGGUGUAGUGGUGAAAUGCGUAGAUAUCUGGAGGAACACCGGUGGCGAAGGCGGCAUCCUGGACCAUUACUGACGCUGAGGAGCGAAAGCCAGGGGAGCAAACGGG